rnacentral:lncRNA from 1 species
CGGGCUCCUGUCAGGGGCUGCCUGGGAAGGCGGUGUGGUGGUUGGGGGUGAGAUGGGUUUUGAAGUGGUGCGAUUUGAAGCUAGGAGCUCUCAAGGGGACUCAGCAGAAUCUCUCAGAGAAAAUUCUGUAUGUAUUUUCUAAUAGAAUGUCUUAAAACCUGCCUGGCUAUCCAGGAGUACCCAGCUGUGAUGUGCCUGGAAGGGGACUGUGGUGUUCAAGCCCUGUGGUGUUCACAUUAUUCCCCUGUCCUCCUGCCCAGCGCUCAGUGCAGGCCCUUGCAGGGGGCUGUUAGAGCAUAAAACUGAGGAAAAAAACCUUAAAGAAAUGUGUUUCAAUUGCUUAUACAAGCUUCCAUUGCGACCUUGCCACAGAAAGGUCAGGUAUCAUUCUAAAUUUCAUGGAAUAGCCAACAAAGAGGCAGGCAAUGUAGAUUUUCCUUACAUUGGUUACAAACAUGAUUGUUGGAAAAGAAAUUCACAGUGUCUUACAUAUAUGACACAGACAUAGACAUAGAAUGGCCUGGGUUGAAAAGGACCACAGUGCUCAUCCAGUUCCAACCCCCUGCUAUGUGCAGGGUCGCCAACCAGCAGACCAGGCUGCCCAGAGCCACAUCCAGCCUGGCCUUGAAUGCCUCCAGGGAUGGGGCAUCCACAGCCUCCUUGGGCAAGCUGUUCCAGUGAAUGUAUGUACGCACACGUAUAUAAAAUGUAUGUCGUUCCAAACAGUGGCAAAAGUGAAGCAAUUCAGCCACCCAGACAGGAUGCAGAGAUGCCCAUAGCACUGAAUUCUAAAC